rnacentral:rRNA from 1 species
AUUGAACGCUGGCGGCAUGCCUUACACAUGCAAGUCGAACGGUAACGGGCCUUCGGGUGCCGACGAGUGGCGCACGGGGGAGUAAUACAUCGGAACGUGCCCGAUCGUGGGGGAUAACGAGGCGAAAGCUUUGCUAAUACCGCAUACGAUCUACGGAUGAAAGCAGGGGACCGCAAGGCCUUGCGCGGACGGAGCGGCCGAUGGCAGAUUAGGUAGUUGGUGGGAUAAAAGCUUACCAAGCCGACGAUCUGUAGCUGGUCUGAGAGGAUGAUCAGCCACACUGGGACUGAGACACGGCCCAGACUCCUACGGGAGGCAGCAGUGGGGAAUUUUGGACAAUGGGCGCAAGCCUGAUCCAGCCAUGCCGCGUGCAGGAUGAAGGCCUUCGGGUUGUAAACUGCUUUUGUACGGAACGAAAAGCCUUCUUUUAAUACAGGAGGGUCAUGACGGUACCGUAAGAAUAAGCACCGGCUAACUACGUG